UGGUCACCCAGCUGACAAGUGGCGGAGAUGGUAUUAGAACCCAGGUCUUUCUGGUAUUUACAAUACCAUUGUAAAUUUGAAAUAAUAGGGUGAGGAUGUGCUGCUACGAGACUUCAGGGACCCAUCCCUGCAAGCCCUGCUCCGGUUGGCUAAGUCAGGCCAGAGUCAAUAUACAGAUGUUGACUUACCGUGUGCACGCUAAAUUGAUGGGCUCAACUUGCUUUAUGGUUGUGAAACAUCAGCAUCAUAUAGGGAAUGGUAAAAUGUGCACAUCCAGCCCUGAGAGUGAAUCAGACUCUCAGGUUCCUUCAGACUCACGGGAUCACCCUCUCACCGACUUGGCAAACAACGGGAAGAGAAGGGAAGAACCAGUGUGGCCGAAUGGAUGGGGACUUGGUGCGCAAGCCCAGCAGAGGAAAAAAAAGUUCCAGCAGCAGAAUUUGGAGACUAGCCCGCAGGAACAAGGCAAAGGUGGGGAAACUGAUUCACAGACAGGCCAAGUCACGGAAUAGGCAAGUGGUGUAGCUGGGAUCGGAACCUGGGUCCUUCAACUCCCAUCAAUCAGAGAAUCUGCCCUGCCAGGAGGAAGAGCGCAGAGCGCGGUCCCACCUCUUUCACACAGGCAGCCCCGUGGCGACUGAGCCAUCCUCCCAGCAACAUCAGGUAAUCCUGAGUCUCUGCCGUCGAGUCUCUCCCAUGCUGCUGCUGCCCAGCACAGGUGAGUUUGGACUUGUAGCAGAUUGUAUGUAACAGUUAUAAGCUUGGGUUUUUUUUGACUAAAUUUUCUAGUUGUCCCUCAUGCCAGUAGAUGGUUUAAGUCCCCACACAAAGUAGUGCACUUAGCCGAUGCCAACAGAAAAGGUAAGUGGAAGGAAGUGUUUUAUAGCCUUUUACUGUGAGCAGCACAAGAAGCCGAGUCCAAGGGCCUGUGUCUAGCUUGACGACCUGCCAAUGAAUGCUGCCCCUGCAUUCCUCCCCCUGCUUCCUGGGGAUUUGUCCAGUUGGGAUGGUGCAAAGCCCAAAUUGGAAGGUGGGAGGGAAAGGCACCUUGCCCCCACCUCUCCUAUGGAGUAGUCUGACAGUAGCUUGCACUUUUAGAGUGGCCUCGGUGAGAAGCAGGUGAGCAAUGUAACUAUCAAGACCUGCCUCUGGCCUGGAACACCCUCCCUCCUCAUAUCUGACAGACAAUUGCUCUCCCCCACUU